rnacentral:rRNA from 1 species
AUGCAAUGCGGAGGUAAUGGGGAACGUCGACAGUUCACACGCGGUUUCCACAAUCCAUCUGGAGCUUUACCCGGAAUAGGAGCCUAUCGUGGCCGUCCUACGGGAGCCAUUGCUACACCCGAAACGAGAAGCAAAUUAUUCUCGAUCGGUUGGCUGCUGGCUACAACUACUCGGCUCAUUCCUUUGAGCACAUACGCUUCUCUCUCUCUCUCUCUCUCUCUGUGUGUGUGUGUGUCUCUCUCUGCACGCGCGGACGCCAUGGACAAACCUCCGGCGGGAGCAGCAGCCAACAAGGCUGGCAAUCCUCCGGCGGCAGCAGCAGCCAACAAGGUUCGCAAUCCUCCGGCGGCAGCAGCGGCCAACAACUUUGCCAAUCCUCCGGUGGCUUCGCUGCAGGUGGUGGUGAUAGCUCCUGCAGCGAAUGUGGUCGUCAAUCCUGCAGCGAAUGUGGUCGUCAAUCCUGCAGCGAAUGUGGUCGUCAAUCCACCAGCAGAGGCGGCGUCAGAGCGUGGAGCUGCGGAAGUUCUGUGGCUGAUUGUUUCCCUCUUCAUUUUGGUGAUCGGCGUGGUUCUGCUGCUGAACUGGUGCCUCUAA